rnacentral:rRNA from 1 species
CGGAAGGUCUAGGCGUUAUCCGGAUUUAUUGGGUUUAAAGGGAGUGUAGGCGGUUUGUUAAGCGUGUUGUGAAAUUUAGAUGCUCAACAUUUAACUUGCAGCGCGAACUGUCAGACUUGAGUACACACAACGUAUGCGGAAUUCAUGGUGUAGCGGUGAAAUGCUUAGAUAUCAUGAAGAACUCCGAUUGCGAAGGCAGCAUACGGGAGUGUAACUGACGCUUAAGCUCGAAGGUGCGGGUAUCGAACAGGAUU